UUUUCGUGUCCAAACCUUACGUUUUCGUGUUCAACGUUUGACCGUCCGUCUUAUUUAAAAAAUUAUGAAAAAAAAUAAAAAGACAAGUCACGCAUAAAGUAUUAAUCAUGUUUUAUCAUCUAUAACAACAAUGAAAAUACUAAUUAUAAAAAAAUUUUAUAUAAGACGGACAGUCAAACGUUGGACAUGAAAACUCAGGUUUGUAUUUUUU
rfam:Oryza nivara chromosome 7, whole genome shotgun sequence.